rnacentral:rRNA from 1 species
UGCCAGCCGCCGCGGUAAUACGGAGGGGGUUAGCGUUGUUCGGAAUUACUGGGCGUAAAGCGUACGUAGGCGGACUGAUCAGUCAGAGGUGAAAUCCCAGGGCUCAACCCUGGAACUGCCUUUGAUACUGUCAGUCUUGAGUUCGGAAGAGGUGAGUGGAAUUCCUAGUGUAGAGGUGAAAUUCGUAGAUAUUAGGAAGAACAUCAGUGGCGAAGGCGACUCACUGGCUCGAUACUGACGCUGAGGUACGAAAGUGUGGGGAGCAAACAGGAUUAGAUA